rnacentral:rRNA from 1 species
CCUACGGGUGGCAGCAGUGAGGAAUAUUGGUCAAUGGCCGGAAGGCUGAACCAGCCAUGCCGCGUGAAGGGCAGAGCCCUAAGGGCGUUACACUUCUUUUGUGCGGGAGCAAUAAUGGUCACGUGUGGCCAGACGAGAGUACCGUACGACUAAGCAGCGGCUAACUCCGUGCCAGCAGCCGAGGUAAAACGGGGGAUGCAAGCGUUAUCCGGAUUUUUUGGGUUUAAAGGGGUCGGAGGCUGUGAGUGAAGUCAGCGGUGUAAUGCCCCCGCUCAACGGGGUGAAGUGCCAUUGAUACUGCCUUGCUGGAGUGCGGAUGCCGUGGGAGGAAUGUGUGGUGUAGCGGUGAAAUGCAUAGAUAUCACGCAGAACACCGAUUGCGAAGGCAUCUCACGAAUCCGCGAUUGACGCUGAUGCACGAAAGCGUGGGUAUCAAACAGGAUUAGAUACCCGUGUAGUC